UUUAUUGAACUGGAAUGAAAGGCCUAACAAACACAUAGUUUUUUAUUUUUAAAGAUUAUAAUUUUUAAUUUACGUAAAAAUACGUAAAUAAAUCUAAGGGACGAUAAGACCCUAAAAGCUUUAUUAUUUAAGUUUUUGUUAUUAUUUAAAUUUGAUUAUUUAAUGUAUUUUAACUGGGGCGGUUGUUUUUUAAAACAAAAAUUUUUUUUACAAAUAGGAUUAAAGAUCCUUAAAAUUAGGAUAAAUUGUUUAAGUUACUUUAGGGAUAACAGCGUUAUAAUAACAGGGAGACCUUAUUUAUGUUGUUGAUUGCGACCUCGAUGUUGAAUUAAAAUUUUCUAUAUGAAGCAGAAAUUAUAUAUGAAAGUUUGUUCAACUUUUAAAUUUUUACAUGAUCUGAGUUCAAA
rnacentral:rRNA from 1 species